rnacentral:lncRNA from 1 species
AUAAUUCAGGAAGUACAGGCUAUAAAAGUUUACCCAUAUAUGAUGUAUAAUGCCUCUAAGUUGAAAGUACUGAGUGACUAUGUAAACAUAGCUUUUGAAAACAACGAAUAUUUCGAUAACGAUGUUAUGCUUAUUUUAUUAAGGCUUUUUUGUUUGUACCCACAUAGCUACGAUAAAGACGUAAUUAAGAAGAUGCUAAUAUGUGUUUUAUAUAAUAUUAAUACGGUUGAUAUGAACACAUAUUUGAGUUUAAUAAAUCCUAAUUUAUUUGAUGAAAAUGUAAAAAGUGUAAUAUAUUUAUAUGAAUUAUUAAAAGAUUGUCAAUUUAUAAAAUUAUGGAAAUGUAUAAACCAGAAAAAUGAAGAUAAAAACAAUAGUGAUUAUUCUUUUUUAAUAAACUGUGACAGUUUUACAAAUAAUAUCAGAAAGUAUAUUUUAAAUUCUAUUUCAUUAAGUUAUGAAAAUAUAACAUUAAAAAAAAUGUCUGAAUAUUUAAAUAUGGAUAUGCCACAACUUGAAAGUUUUUUAAAUGAAAAUAACUGGGUUAUAAAAAAAGUUAAUUACAAAGACCAAGAGCAAGUUAUUUGUAGUAAUAAUAAUAUAGAAGCAUUCCAAACUAAAAACAUUAGCAACUAUUUUAGUGAGGAUUAUAUAUCAUUAUAUAUUGAUAAGUUGAAUAAUUAAAAAGAAAAAGGAAAAAAGAAAAAAAGUAUGAACUAAACGUUAUUGUACCUGCUAUUUUUUUUAUGCUAUGAUACAUAUAAGGUUAUGUAUUUUAUAUCAUCUCAUAUUAAGUUUUUUUUUUUUUUUUUUUUUUUUUUUUUUUUUUUUUUUUUUUUUUUUGUUAUACAACUUUUUCUUCAUACUUUAUUUGCUUUAAACUUUGUUUACAUAUACGUAAAAAUAUGAGCAUAACUGCAUACAGAUAUAUAACUAUGAGUGGAUGAUGUAAGAAAAUAUGCAUUUUGAAACGUUUUUUUUUUUUAAAUACCUUGUCUACAAACAUAAUUUAA